AGAACAGUGCCACUUAAUUGGCAACACUUGGCCCGACCUGCGAGCCUACAAGCUGGUUUUGGGCCAGGCUAUGGUUUGGGGUUAUUUUAGCCAUCGCAUCAUGGCAAAUUGCAGUGGAGGAUGGAAAUCGCAAGGCAUGCUCCACAAUCGGAAUUUGAUUUUCCAAGGAUUUCGAUCAUUUUUCCAUGUCGACGGCGAUUUGCAUAGACAUUCGCUCACCUUCUCGCCCGCUUCUACGACUAUCAAUUUGGAUGACAGGACACAAAGUCUAAGGACUGAAAUGGUUCAGACUUGAGGGACUGAGAUGGCGAACGGGGGAGAGAGAACAACAGACAGAGACAGACACAUAGAUGGAUGGAUAGGCAUGUCAGGCAAAAUUUAUUUAAAUUAAAGCAUACAAUUAUGCGUAACCUCGUUUAUCGGGUCGUUUGUGGGUCGUCGCUGGGAUUUGGAAUUGGCCUUUAAUUAAAUAGACACUUGUACCUUGGGAACUUGCGAAUUGUCAAUGCCAAGAAGGCUUAGACCCAGAAGAAAAUUAAUUUAAUUGAGUGGGAAUCCUGGCUGUGAGUAUAAGCAGUUGUCACUUGGUUACCGUGUUCACCCUUUUCAAUAAUUAAGUGCAAUUUCUAGUAUCUGUCACUUUUGGAUUUAUGUGUUUCCAUUUUAUUUGAUUUUUUUUUUGAGAAAAUAGCUCUUAAAAUCCCUGUCUUAGCUCGACACUCUCCAGACGAAUUCAAAGGCUAAGCAUGUGCUCUGACAUUUAGUGUCCUCUAUAUGCCUGACACUAAAGAAUUCUCCCUUUGCUAUAAUUUCGAUGAGACAGAGUCGGAAUUGAGAGGAAACGGAAUGCUUGUGGCAGAAUGGAUAGCGUUUUAACUGAUAUAUAACCCGGUAUAAAAAUGCGACGGUCUUAAAGUUUUCCUCUUCACACAACGAAAGCAAAAAGACAUAAAUCGGACUAAUAUGCAGAACCGACAC